rnacentral:rRNA from 1 species
AUUGAACGCUGGCGGCAGGCCUAACACAUGCAAGUCGAGCGAGCGGCGGACGGGUGAGUAAUGUAUGGGGACUGCCCGAUAGAGGGGGAUAACUACUGGAAACGGUGGCUAAUACCGCAUACUAUCGGAUAACCCAUAUGGGAUUAGCUAGUAGGUGGGGUAAAGGCUCACCUAGGCGACGAUCUCUAGCUGGUCUGAGAGGAUGAUCGGCCACACUGGGACUGUGACAGGUCCCAGAGUCCUACGGGGGCAGCAGGGGGGAAAAUUGCACAAUGGGGGAAAGCCGGAUGCAGCCAGGCCGGGUGUAUGAAGAAGGCCUUAGGGUUGUAAAGUACUUUCAGCGGGGAGGCGUUACCCGCAGAAGAAGCACCGGCUAACUCCGUGCCAGCAGCCGCGGUAAUAC